UAAGACGAACCUGACAAACGUUAUUCGGAAUUACUGGGCUUAAAGGGUGCGUAGGCGGCGCGACAAGUUGGGUGUGAAAUCCCUCGGCUCAACCGAGGAACUGCGCUCAAUACUGUCGUGCUCGAGGGAGACAGAGGUGAGCGGAACUUAGGGUGGAGCGGUGAAAUGCGUUGAUAUCCUAAGGAACACCGGUAGCGAAAGCGGCUCACUGGGUCUUUUCUGACGCUGAGGCACGAAAGCUAGGGUAGCGAACGGG
rnacentral:rRNA from 1 species